UGGGGAAUCUUGGACAAUGGGCGCAAGCCUGAUCCAGCCAUGCCGCGUGAAGGAUGAAGUAUUUCGGUAUGUAAACUUCGAAAGAAUAGGAAGAAUAAAUGACGGUACUAUUUAUAAGGUCCGGCUAACUACGUGCCAGCAGCCGCGGUAAUACGUAGGGACCAAGCGUUGUUCGGAUUUACUGGGCGUAAAGGGCGCGUAGGCGGCAAUUCAAGUCAUCUGUGAAAUCUCCGGGCUUAACUCGGAACGGUCAGAUGAUACUGCUUUGCUAGAGUGCAGAAGGGGCAAUCGGAAUUCUUGGUGUAGCGGUGAAAUGCGUAGAUAUCAGGAGGAACACCGGUGGCGAAGGCGGCUAUCUGGACAGAGUCUGACGCUGAGGCGCGAAAGCUAGGGGAGCAAACAGGAUUAGAUACCCGUCCCUGAGCGGGCUGGCAAGGCGCAU
rnacentral:rRNA from 1 species